CACCCUUGUAUGUUUGAUGUUCUAACUUAGACCCAUUAUCUGGGUUGAGGACAGUGCCUGGUGGGUAGUUUGACUGGGGCGGUCUCCUCCCAAAGAGUAACGGAGGAGCACGAAGGUGGGCUAAUCACGGUUGGACAUCGUGAGGUUAGUGCAAUGGCAUAAGCCCGCUUAACUGCGAGAAUGACGGUUCGAGCAGGUGCGAAAGCAGGUCAUAGUGAUCCGGUGGUUCUGUAUGGAAGGGCCAUCGCUCAACGGAUAAAAGGUACUCCGGGGAUAACAGGCUGAUACCGCCCAAGAGUUCAUAUCGACGGCGGUGUUUGGCACCUCGAUGUCGGCUCAUCACAUCCUGGGGCUGAAGUCGGUCCCAAGGGUAUGGCUGUUCGCCAUUUAAAGUGGUACGCGAGCUGGGUUUAGAACGUCGUGAGACAGUUCGGUCCCUAUCUGCCGUGGGCGUUGG
rnacentral:rRNA from 1 species